GGUCCGGUGGCAGAAUGGCUUAUGCAGCGGACUGCAAAUCCGCGAAUGUGGGUUCAAUUCCCGCCCGGACCUCCA
rnacentral:tRNA from 2 species